AAGAGUGAGGGACGAGUCCCGUUGUUGCUUAGAGUGGAGUGUGUGAGAUAUUUUUGUGGCUUCGUUGUGUAUAAAAAUUGUUCUACGGCUAUGCAUAACUCUUAGGCUUCCAGUUCAGUACGGCUACUCAAAGAAUGUUAUUCGAUCCGAUGUUUGUGUCGUCUGGCCCAUCACUACUACCCUCUAGCGUUUCCCGAAAAUGCCUAUGACUUUAUGGCGAUAAGGUUAACGUAAGACUCGGACGCUGACGUGUCGCCUACGUGGUAGAGUAGUCUGGCUGCCUGACCACAGUGUCAUUGGCUCAAGCUGGUUAACAACAUGACUGCGUUAAAGUUUUGUGCGAAUAUUUCCUGGCUGUUUACUGAGCAUCCGGACUUCAGCAAGAGAAUCUAUGCGGCUGCUUCUGUCGGGUUUCAAGCCGUGGAAGCAGCUUGGCUUUACGAUUCGGACCUGUCGGAGCUCCAGAAAGCCAAGGAGGCAACUAGAGUGGAAGUCGUCCUUAUCAACACGCCACCAGGGGAUAUCAAGGCAGGUGAUCUCGGUUUGGGAGCAGUUCCAGGGAGAGAGCUGGAGUUUAGAGAAGGGUUGGAUCUUACUCUGAAGUAUGCAAAAGCUUUGAACUGCAAGAGAAUUCACCUAAUGGCAGGAAGGAUUCCAGUGGAUGCUCACAGAGCAGCAGUUGCAAGAGAAAUGGAGGAUGUCUUUGUGCACAACCUAAACUAUGCAGCUGACAUCUUGGCCAAGGAAGGAAUCACUGGAUUGAUUGAGCCAAUCAACACAAGAAUUACAGACCCUCGCUACUUUCUGGACUCCCCUCAUCAAGCUGCAGCAAUACUGGGGAAGGUUGGCAAGCCCAACAUCCAGCUACAGAUGGACAUAUUUCACUGGCAAAUAAUGGAUGGAAAUCUGACAAAAAACAUGCACAAAUAUUUUCCCAUAAUAGGCCAUGUUCAGAUUGCACAGGUUCCAGGCAGGAAUGAACCUGACAGCGAUGGAGAGUUGUGUUACAGAUACUUGUUAAACACACUGGAAAAGCUUGGCUAUCAAGGAUACAUUGGCUGUGAAUACAAGCCACUUGGCUCCACAGAAAAGAGUCUGGGGUGGAUCCAACAAUACUGGGCCCAAUAUUCUUGAACUUUUCUGAAAGUUCAGUGGAUUUUUAUUGUUCCUUAAAGCUGUAGUAUGUAAAAAAAUGGUUUUUUUUAUAUUUUCUCGUGAUGGUGACUGUUGGAGUUAGGCACCAGCGCACCUCCCGACCCCACUAGAGAUAAGUGUGUAUGAUAAUAGAUGGGUAUUUGUUAUUACUCAUUUGUUAUACAUGAGCUUGAUUGACAAUGAUAAGACUACUAGUGGCUCUGAUUGGUUGUUUUUGACCAAGAUCUGUGCUUUUCUGCAAAUGGGAGUAUUAGUGCAAGGAAAUGGUGGAGGUGCUCAAUCUUUUCACAGUCUAUGAUCAUCAGAUUACUUGUCUCAAAGUGUCAUGAUACUGUAACAGUUUGAACAACAAAAACAUAUUUUUGUUACAUACUGCAGCUUUGAAGUGUUCUUUAUGAAAACCACUGAAGGGGAGCCUUCCAGUGCAGCGGAGGGCCAAACUCCUGCAACAUGAGGAUGACUUCUGUAUCACAGUCUACAUUCUGCUACAGAUCUAACCAUUUUACUGCGUGUUUUGUUUGGUGGGGAGCAGAAGUACGUGAAACUUUCUGACCUAACAUUUGAUGGAUUCAUGAGAGAAGGUUAGUAGUUUGUCUGAAAUGUAACAUUCCAGAAGACAGACAGCAAGAUCUGAAGGUGUAUGACCAGUUUGAUAGAGAAGUUGAUGUUUGGUUUUGAAGAAAUAGUGAAUCAGUCAUCUGGAACCUUUCAAGUUAUGUUGAACAACAAAGAAUAUCCUGGUGCUGUUCUAUCAUCAUUAUCUUCAUCUUCUGUCACAUCAGAUGAUAUUAUCAUCCUGACUAUCUCAACGUAUGAACCAUCAGAAGAAGGAGCCACUGCUGAAGGAAGUCAACCUAAAAGGCCAUGUCACAUAAAUUAUGAGGCGCAAGCAUUGAUUGAAAAAAGCUUGACAACAAAGCCUGGUGGUGAGCGUAUGCAAGAACUAAAUGCUUGAGAGAUGCAACCAGAAGACAGAUGAUAAACAUCCUUGCAGCUGACAGAAACACAUGGGUAAGAAUCAUACACUUAGACUAUAAUGAAACAUUUUGGUUUUGAGUUGUUUUUUAUUAUUUUUUACAAAUAUCAGUUCAUUCCCUCCUAAAAGUGUCAGAGUGAUGUAUGCUGAGGGGAUUGUUGCCCUAUUUCCCUAUCAUGUUUUCAGAACAUGGAUAUGUAAGUAAAAGGGUCUUAGCAACAUUGAGCAUAUACUGUAUAUUUACUUUUAAAGAUGUUUAUGGAAUGGUUAGUCUGCUUGUAUUUAUUGACAUAGGAGCAUUACUAUGAUCCAGAAAGCAGUUCAGGAUACCUUGCAUGGCAUUUAAAGACCAUUCAAACGGCAGAGGAAAAGGGUGCCUCAGGUAGCAAAUCUCCCAAAAGUAAGUUUUCUCAAACGUAAAUAUAUGUAAAGUAAUGUAAAAUCUGUGGUUGGGAGUUAGAUUUUUUUUUAAGGUGGUGGACCAGGCCAUGGCCAAUCCAGGGUUUUCACUACUGACAAAGUGAUGUCAGAUGAGGAAGUGGAAACAGCUAUUGCUUUUUUGAAACACUUUGCUGAUGAUGACAUUGUCCGUGAGAAGAUGAAGGCUACCUUCCAUUACCGUCAUUCAAUGGUCAAUGAUGAAAAGAAAGCAGCAGAUGUCUUCUCCGUCUUUUCACGGUUUCUGGACACACCAGGACUGAUAGAGCAAGAUUUCAGACUCCUGUUUGGCGACGGCACUGCCAACAAAUUUUUGGAGAAAUGGCCCACCAGUCUCAAAUCCAAGGUUAUAAAGAUGGCCUGGUACCCACCACUGAGCUCUUGGAUUUAUUGUUGAGAAUGGUAUGUUGGUCUUCUAGGUAAUUGUGAGAAAUUCAUAUGUUAGUGGGAUGAUGUUUACCUGAAGCUGUUGGUCUAUAUGUUGGGAUAGUGGCAUGUCUGCUAUUUUGCUUCUGCUGCAUCUGCUACUACCAUCUGCACAAGAACGAAAGAGGCCGCAUAAGAUGUCUGAAUCUCAAGCAGUGGAUCGAUCACCUCAUCAGAUUUCUAAAUGUACUGCUUAACAGUUGCUUAAAAAUAAAAAUGCAUAAUUCAGUCAAACAACUGCUUACAACAUAGAUGUUGGAGGAACAAAGGAAACACCCAGAGUUGAGUGCAGGAAUGCUCCAUUAGUGUGACAUAUGUACAGUAACUUUUCAUGAACAUUUUCAUGCUUAUGAAGUUACUAAAAUGAUGAAAGGUUUUGUUUGUUUGAUGUCAACCAUCUAUGUUAUCCGAAGCCCUUUGACAUACAAAUGUCAUAUGAAGCAAAUGACACUGCUGUCUUUGUUGUCCAAUAUUGCUAUCUUUGGUGAACAUUGUUUAUAAGAUUAUUAAACUGACACCAGUAAUUAUGUCACUGGAUCAUAAAGUUGAAUAAAUGUUGUCACGGUGAACUUAUAACUUUGUGAUUAUUGUGAUUGGUAGAUUUUAUAAAAGCCAUAUAAUGUGAGCAUUAUAUGGUAUACGUGUAAAAACAAAAACUGGAAAAAGGGAGAAAAAAACAACAAAAUAAAGAGUAAAUUUAGUGUAAAAUUAACUCGAUAAAAAUAACAAUAUUACUCUGGAGAGUGUAAACAAGCAAUAGUGAUAAAUAAUUUGAAUCACUCACUUGUUGAUUGUGACAAUAAAGUGAGUAAAAUUAUCCCUCAAAAUUUGACACUGGCUAUAGAGUACAUUUUAUACUAUUUUCGAGUGGGACCAAAUAUUAUCUGAAACGGAGUUAAAUUCAACUGUAUAGGUGUUAAAAAGACAUUUGGUUUUUUACUGUGUACAGCAUAAAAAAUGCUGAGAAGCAGUAAAUCUGGUUG